rnacentral:rRNA from 2 species
AACCGCGGUUAUACGAGAGGCCCAAGUUGACAGGAAUCGGCGUAAAGGGUGGUUAGGGGUUAUUACAAAAUAAAGCCGAACAUUCUCAGCGCUGUUAUACGCCCCCGAGAACUUGAAGCCCCACCACGAAAGUGGCUUUACCCCGCCCCGAACCCACGAAAGCCAGGGCA